ACGAACGCUGGCGGCGUGCCUAAUACAUGCAAGUAGAACGCUGAAGAGAGGAGCUUGCUCUUCUUGGAUGAGUUGCGAACGGGUGAGUAACGCGUAGGUAACCUGCCUUGUAGCGGUGGAUAACUAUUGGAAACGAUAGCUAAUACCGCAUAACAAUGGAUGACACAUGUCAUUUAUUUGAAAGGGGCAAUUGCUCCACUACAAGAUGGACCUGCGUUGUAUUAGCUAGUAGGUGAGGUAACGGCUCACCUAGGCGACGAUACAUAGCCGACCUGAGAGGGUGAUCGGCCACACUGGGACUGAGACACGGCCCAGACUCCUACGGGAGGCAGCAGUAGGGAAUCUUCGGCAAUGGGGGCAACCCUGACCGAGCAACGCCGCGUGAGUGAAGAAGGUUUUCGGAUCGUAAAGCUCUGUUGUAAGUCAAGAACGAGUGUGAGAGUGGAAAGUUCACACUGUGACGGUAGCUUACCAGAAAGGGACGGCUAACUACGUG
rnacentral:rRNA from 1 species